UACAGAAGGGGCAAGCGUUGUUCGGAAUUACUGGGCGUAAAGGGCGCGUAGGCGGCCUUCUAAGUCAGACGUGAAAUCCCCGGGCUCAACCCGGGAACUGCGUCUGAGACUGGAAGGCUCGAAUCCGGGAGAGGGAUGCGGAAUUCCAGGUGUAGCGGUGAAAUGCGUAGAUAUCUGGAGGAACACCGGUGGCGAAGGCGGCAUCCUGGACCGGCAUUGACGCUGAGGCGCGAAAGCCAGGGGAGCAAACGGG
rnacentral:rRNA from 1 species